CCUACGGGAGGCAGCAGUGAGGAAUAUUGGUCAAUGGGCGCAAGCCUGAACCAGCCAAGUCGCGUGAGGGAUGACGGUCCUAUGGAUUGUAAACCUCUUUUGUCGGGGAGCAAGGCCCGCCACGUGUGGCGGGAAGGAGAGUACCCGAAGAAAAAGCAUCGGCGAACUCCGUGCCAGCAGCCGCGGUAAUACGGAGGAUGCGAGCGUGAUCCGGAUUUAUUGGGUUUAAAGGGUGCGUAGGCGGAAGGUUAAGUCAGCGGUAAAAUGUCGGUGCUCAACACCGGCCUGCCGUUGAAACUGGUCUUCUUGAGUGAGCGAGAAGUAUGCGGAAUGCGUGGUGUAGCGGUGAAAUGCAUAGAGAUCACGCAGAACUCCGAUUGCGAAGGCAGCAUACCGGCGCUCAACUGACGCUGAGGCACGAAAGCGUGGGGAUCGAACAGGAUUAGAUACCCCAGUAGUC
rnacentral:rRNA from 1 species